GUCUCGAUAGUCUAAAGGCUUAGGACGCUCGCACGGAAUGCAAGAGAUCCGGGUUCGACUCUCGGCCGAGGCA
rfam:Trachymyrmex septentrionalis contig18524, whole genome shotgun sequence.